GUUGCAGGGUAUAGACCCGAAACCCGGUGAUCUAGCCAUGGGCAGGUUGAAGGUUGGGUAACACUAACUGGAGGACCGAACCGACUAAUGUUGAAAAAUUAGCGGAUGACUUGUGGCUGGGGGUGAAAGGCCAAUCAAACCGGGAGAUAGCUGGUUCUCCCCGAAAGCUAUUUAGGUAGCGCCUCGUGAACUCAUCUUCGGGGGUAGAGCACUGUUUCGGCUAGGGGGUCAUCCCGACUUACCAACCCGAUGCAAACUACGAAUACCGAAGAAUGUUAUCACGGGAGACACACGGCGGGUGCUAACGUCCGUCGUGAAGAGGGAAACAACCCAGACCGCCAGCUAAGGUCCCAAAGUCAUGGUUAAGUGGGAAACGAUGUGGGAAGGCACAGACAGCCAGGAUGUUGGCUUAGAAGCAGCCAUCAUUUAAAGAAAGCGUAAUAGCUCACUGGUC
rnacentral:rRNA from 1 species